UUACAAAAGGCGUGAUAAGUAUUAUGUUAUACAGUUUAUAUGAUUUCAUGAUGACGAUAAUGUUAUUGCUUUCGUAUAUUGUUUUAUGAAUUUCACCGAGGUAAGUGGAUGGUAAAGGUUUUAUUAUUGAUAAAAGGAUUUGUUGUAAAUUAUGUUCCAUUGGUCUUUUUGUGUUUUCUACCCACCUUUACCUCCGUGACGGUGAGAUAUCGUGAUGUCUUUACUGGGCUAGUGUGGCUCAUUCCUUAUUUAAUCAUUUCAGAUCAGAAAGACAUUAUUCCCGAGCCCGUUCCGCAGGAAGACGACGAAGGGGACG
rnacentral:lncRNA from 1 species